CGAGUAUGGUGUGGCUCCAAGGCAUGUGCGUAUGCUUUUCAUUCAUUUUUCAGCAUCAGAUUUGUUCAAGUGGAUAUGCGCUGACCAUGAGCACGGUCCCCACAGCAUCUCUGGGAACUUCCCUCAGGGUGUGGUAGGGUGCGGCUGAGGCAUGUGCUGUAUCUCAGCCUAUGAAAAUAGUUACUUUUGAAGUCGAUGUGAGCUUUUUCUUAUUGUGAGAUUAAUUCUGUAAUCUUUGCUCAUCUGUGCAGGCCCAGCAAAGGUGGAAAGGGAGGAGGCCUGUCCAUGUUGGUGCAUUAAGACCUACUUCUCUGCACAAGCAGAAGUCAGUGGCCACCUGGUCCUCUUGUGUUUCACGCCAGAAACUGCAUCUGAGGCAGGAAAGCGCAGAGAAACCAUGCGGUGUGCUGGAGAGAGUGAGGCUUGUCCCUGUGCUGGAGUGCGAAGUGACUGGCAGCGCUGAGAUAGCAGGCCUCGUCUACCUGGCAGCUGCAGACACCCCCAGCCAGGCUCUCCCCAUGCUCCCUGGAAGGACACAAUGACAGUGCACCUGAGCUGGCUGUAGAAGCCCAGGGUGGCUCUGCAGGAACAGCACUGUGUGCGCCUGGGCUGCCAGGACUUGCCCUGUGCGUGGGCAGGUUUGCAGGGCCUCACCAAAUCAGCAGGCUCCCUUUUGAUACAGUGCAUGCGUUCCCUGGCAGGCAGAUGUGUGGCCCUAUCAUAAGCCAAUUCCCUUCGAGUGUGCUGAGGCUGCGGCAGGGCACCUGAGUGCCGACGGUCCCGUGGGGACAUGACAUACUGGUCAGUACUUUUCCAGUUGCCACAUAACUUCUUCAGGUGUGUGUGAUGAUGUGCCCUGACUGUAGGCGCAGCAGUAAAUAGGCUAUAGGGCCUUUCAGGACACCGGGCAUUUUCUCUUAGUCAGAUAGUUAUCAGUAUCACACAGAAGUAAGGUCAGCUCAUGUUUCAAAGAUUUUUGGUAACAGAACAUGUUAUUUUAUUUGUGCCAGGCCUUGGAGGUACUUUAAUACAGUAACAAAACUGAACUGUAAAUAAUUGUGAGUGAAAAUGUCAUUUUUUUCCUCCUCUUUAUGAUUUCCUUUUGGUUUGGUGUGGGCAUUCCCUGGCACACGGAUAACAUGGCCCUGACACAUUUAAAAUAAUCACGAAACACCCUGACAAGGAGCGGCCUGAAACCUGCAGAUGCACAAUGAGCAUUGAUCUGGCUCCAACUCAGAGCUCCAUGACAUGUAGAAGUGGGAAAGGAACCCUGCAGGUAGCACGUUCUGAACUACGUAGAUGCUGUUAAGACUUUUAAUUUUUUGAGAUGCAAAACUUGAAGGAAAGCCUGCUAUUUUAUUUAUUUUUUUAAUCCCUUUAAAACAUGUUCAUAUGCCUCUGGGAAACCUCCAUCAUAUACAUCUUUUCUCCUUUUCCUUGUUUCUACAGUGCUCAAAAUCAUCUCCUCCAAAGGUAAACAUUUCAGUGAACGCUGGAAUAAAAUGGAAAGUCUGUGUUGUGCUACUAUUCAGA